rnacentral:rRNA from 1 species
CCUACGGGCGACAGCAGUGAGGACUAUUGGUCAAUGGACGAGAGUCUGAACCAGCCCAGUAGCGUGAAGGAUGACUGCCCUAUGGGUUGUAAACUUCUUUUAUAUGGGAAUAAAAUGUUCCCCGUGUGGGAUUUUGUAUGUACCAUAUGAAUACGGAUCGGCUAACUCCGUGCCAGCAGCCGCGGUAAUACGGAGGAUCCGAGCGUUCUCCGGAUUUAUUUGGUUUAAAGGGAGCGUAGGUGGAUUGUUAAGUCAGUUGUGAAAGUGUGCGGCUCAACCGUAAAAUUGCAGUUGAAACUGGCAGUCUUGAGUACAGUAGAGGUGGGCGGAAUUCGUGGUGUAGCGGUGAAAUGCUUAGAUAUCACGAAGAACUCCGAUUGCGAAGGCAGUUCACUGGACUGCAACUGACACUGAGGCUCGAAAGUGUGGGUAUCAAACAGGAUUAGAUACCCGUGUAGUC